UCUCGGGGGCAUGUGCACACCAACCAUCCUCAUCUCUCCACCUGUGCACCUCUUGUAGACCUGAAUUGACUUUCCGAGGCAACUCGGUCGGGAAGAUUGCUGUGCUCUGUGAGCCAGCUUUCUUUGCAUGUCUAGGCCUAUGUUUUUCAUAUACCCCUAUAGAAUGUAACAGAAUGUAUCAUUGGGCCUUGUGCCUAUAAACCUUAUACAACUUUCAGCAACGGAUCUCUUGGCUCUCGCAUCGAUGAAGAACGCAGCGAAAUGCGAUAAGUAAUGUGAAUUGCAGAAUUCAGUGAAUCAUCGAAUCUUUGAACGCACCUUGCGCUCCUUGGUAUUCCGAGGAGCAUGCCUGUUUGAGUGUCAUUAAAUUCUCAACCUUAUUAACUUUUGUUGAUAAUGGAUUGGAUUGUGGGGGUUUCUUUUGCUGGAUUCUUCACAGAGAUCAGCUCCCCUUAAAUGCAUUAGCUGGUGCCCCGCGUGGACCAUCUAUUGGUGUGAUAAUUAUCUACGCCGUGGAUGUCUGCAAUCAUAUGGGUUUUGCACUGCUUCUAACCGUCUGUUCAUUCGGACAAUACAUGACAAUUUGACCUCAAAUCAGGUAGGACUACCCGCUGAACUUAAGCAUAUCAAUAAGCGGAGGAAAAGAAACUAACAAGGAUUCCCCUAGUAACUGCGAGUGAAGCGGGAAAAGCUCAAAUUUAAAAUCUGGCGGUCUCCGGCCGUCCGAGUUGUAAUCUAGAGAAGUGUUAUCCGCGCUGGACCGUGUACAAGGUCUCCUGA
rnacentral:rRNA from 1 species